AGCGAACGCUGGCGGCAGGCUUAACACAUGCAAGUCGAACGCCCCGCAAGGGGAGUGGCAGACGGGUGAGUAACACGUGGGAACGUACCCUUUGGUUCGGAAUAACUUGGGGAAACUCAAGCUAAUACCGGAUAAGCCCUUAUGGGGAAAGGUUUACUGCCGAAGGAUCGGCCCGCGUCUGAUUAGCUAGUUGGUGAGGUAACGGCUCACCAAGGCGACGAUCAGUAGCUGGUUUGAGAGGAUGAUCAGCCACCCUGGGACUGAGACACGGCCCAGACUCCUGCGGGAGGCAGCAGUGGGGAAUAUUGGACAAUGGGGGCAACCCUGAUCCAGCCAUGCCGCGUGAGUGAUGAAGGCCUUAGGGUUGUAAAGCUCUUUUACCCGGGACGAUAAUGACUGUACCGGAAGAAUAAGCCCCGGCUAACUUCGUGCCAGCCGCCGCCGUAA
rnacentral:rRNA from 1 species